GCAGCUCUAGCUGUGGUAGGGCCCUCGACCGAUCCUUCCUACCUUCAGGUCGGUGCCAGAUGAAUCUGUCGAGCCAACCUCGUCGGAUGAGCUCUUCGAUCCGUCGGUUCAUCUCUUAGAAUCUUUGAUCCAGGAGGUCCUCUCGACUGUGAGUCUCGAGGGUCUUCUAGUGGAAUGGAGGUAGGGACCCUCCGAGGGUGGAAUCAUGAUCGGACGGAGGGCUCUCCGCCUUCUGCUUCCCCUUUCUAGGGAAGACAGGGUG
rnacentral:lncRNA from 1 species